rnacentral:rRNA from 1 species
AUUGAACGCUGGCGGCAUGCCUUACACAUGCAAGUCGAACGGCAGCACGGGAGCAAUCCUGGUGGCGAGUGGCGAACGGGUGAGUAAUAUAUCGGAACGUGCCCAGUAGUGGGGGGAUAGCCCGGCGAAAGCCGGAUUAAUACCGCAUGAGACCUGAGGGUGAAAGCGGGGGAUCGCAAGACCUCGCGCUAUUGGAGCGGCCGAUAUCAGAUUAGCUAGUUGGUGGGGUAAAGGCCUACCAAGGCAACGAUCUGUAGUUGGUCUGAGAGGACGACCAGCCACACUGGGACUGAGACACGGCCCAGACUCCUACGGGAGGCAGCAGUGGGGAAGUUUUGGACAAUGGGCGCAAGCCUGAUCCAGCAAUGCCGCGUGCAGGAAGAAGGC